GGGCCGAUAGCUCAGUUAGUAGAGCACCGUGCUGAUAACGCGGGGGUCACAGGUGCGAUUCCUGUUCGGCCCACCA
rnacentral:tRNA from 2 species